AGUGUUACUCAACAUAUCACAACUAUUUAAGUGUCCUGCACAAUAUAAUAAAUAUUUUCUCUCAUGAUUAGUGAAAAGUAUAAGCUGUGUCAAUGUCCUGUGCAGCAGAUUUGUGCCCUUCAGAGGAACAAUAAUUGAUACCACUAAAGUCUCAUUUCUCAGGUUCCCGGCCUCUGGUGUCAAGACCACUCCAGUUC